UACGUAGGGCGCAAGCGUUGUCCGGAAUUAUUGGGCGUAAAGAGCUCGUAGGCGGUUUGUCGCGUCUGGUGUGAAAACUCGAGGCUCAACCUCGAGCUUGCAUCGGGUACGGGCAGACUAGAGUGCGGUAGGGGAGACUGGAAUUCCUGGUGUAGCGGUGGAAUGCGCAGAUAUCAGGAGGAACACCGAUGGCGAAGGCAGGUCUCUGGGCCGCAACUGACGCUGAGGAG
rnacentral:rRNA from 1 species